GACGAACGCUGGCGGCGUGCCUAACACAUGCAAGUCGAACGAAGAAGUGAGUUGCUUGCUCGUCUGACUGUAGCGGCGGACGGGUGAGUAACAAGAGGAUAACCUACCUAUAAGACUUGGUGAACAACGGGAAACCGGAGCUAAUACCAGAGAAUAUAUUGAACCUCUUGGUUCAAUAGUGAAGGACGGUUUUGGUGUCGGUUGGGGAUGGGUUCGCGGCGCAUUAGCUAGUUGGUGAGGUAACGGCUUACCAAGGCGGCGAUGCGUAGCCGCCCUGAGAGGGUGGUGGGCCACCAUGGUAGUGAGACACGGUCGAGCCGCCUACGGGAGGCAGCAGUAGGGAAUCUUACGCAAUGGUCGGAAGCCUGACGGAGCAGCGCCGCGUGGGUGAUGAUGGUCUUCGGAUCGUAAAACUCUUUUAUCGGGGGUGAAGAAGUGCUUCCUUGUCUGUGGGCGUCUUGACGGUAGCUGAACAAAAAGCGCCGGCUAACUACGUG
rnacentral:rRNA from 1 species